AAAAUUCAGUGGUGGGAGAUGGUAGGAUGUGGAGUAGUGGUGUUUAGUGUCGCCGCCUGAAUUGGAACGCGUAACCAAAAGUCACAGUCAGCACCAGGAGUCGUUGUUGACUAGUCACUUGCAGAUUUUGCUGACCCAGACCAACAAAACCAAACACCAAAAUGGCGGAUGAUGAGUCAAAAAAACGGAUUGCUGAGGAAAAGAAGAAGAAGCAGGCGGAGAUCGAGCGCAAGAGGGCGGAAGUCCGCGCUCGUAUGGAGGAAGCCUCCAAGGCCAAGAAGGCUAAGAAAGGUUUCAUGACUCCAGAGAGGAAGAAGAAACUCAGGUUACUCUUGAGAAAGAAAGCCGCCGAGGAACUUAAGAAGGAACAGGAACGCAAAGCGGCUGAACGUAGGCGCAUCAUUGAGGAACGUUGCGGUAAACCAAAGAUCCUCGAAGACGCCAACGAAGGUAAUUUGAAACAAUAUUGCCAAACUUAUUACAAGCGCAUUUGCGAUUUGGAAAAUUCCAAAUACGAUCUUGAGAAGGAGGUUGAAAACAGGGACUUUCAGAUCGCUGAUUUGAACAGCCAAGUCAAUGACCUCAGAGGCAAAUUCGUUAAGCCUGCCUUGAAGAAGGUAUCCAAAUACGAAAACAAAUUCGCCAAGCUUCAAAAGAAGGCCGCCGAAUUCAACUUCCGUAACCAACUCAAGGUUGUCAAGAAGAAGGAAUUCACACUUGAAGAAGAAGACAAGGAGAAAAAGGCAGGAGAUAAGGCCGAAUGGCAGACACAGAAGAAGUAAAAUCGCAAUAGUGCUUAAGACACAAAGCAAAUAAACACCAGUCGCGCACCGAUUCUUACACAUAUCUUUAUACAACGAUAUUGUGACAAGCUCGACACUACCACCAACACACACGACACCACUCUACAUAUUAAUCUACUUGUAUAAAUUAAUUUACUACUUUUCAUCAAAAACCAUACUUACACCACGAUGACGUGUAUAUCAUACUUAUUAUAUUGAAUAAAACUACUUCAUAACCAGAGAUAUCGACAAGCAACGAAGCUAUAUCAAAUAUUUUAUUAGUCGCUUUUGAUUUUUGUGCAUGAUAUAAAUAUUAUCUCAAAAUUUAGUAUGGUUCAAGUCCAGAGAAAAGAAAAAGCCUGAAUGGUCCCAGAAGAAGGAAGAGAAGAAGGUACACCACGAAGAGGCCGAAGCCGAAGCAUGAACCAAUCAAUAAUACCCAAUUCGUUUCCAAGACUUUUUGGUUAAUUAUUGUUCAAUCACUUUCCUUCCAUUGUCUGUCGACCUGAUUGAGAACUUGUUAUAUGUUCAACAAACACUCUUGACGAACACCUCUACAUCACUAUAUCUGCAACGAUGACGCAAACAUCUCAACUACAAUGGAGUUGGUUGUAAUAGCAACAACACUUAUACUUUAGCUGAAUACCUAUGCAAUAUCUCAUCAACAAAUUGACUAUUACACCUAUAACUGUGCUUUGUCUCUCUUUCUAAUUAUUAUUUGUUAUUAAUAUAAAUAUAAUAUUCAGAGUCUUGUCUGUAAGUGAAUAAACCUUAUGUAUAAUUUA